CAGGGAUCUGAUCUAUAAAAGCAUGAAAUGAGAAAGAGUGAAAAGUCAGGGACAAGUGUGGGGUCUCCAGCUGCCAGCCUUGGGGGGCUUAAAAGGAUAGGCAUCCCAAAUGCUCAACUUCCGGGGACUGGCAAACACAUCAUAGUAUGUUCACACCGUGGAGUGUCAUGGCAGCCAUUAAAAUGGGUUUAUAUGUGCUAAAACGAAAAGCUUUUGGAAAUACUGAAUUAAAAAAUUCAAGUACAAAAGUGAUGGACAGCAUCUGAUUUGGGUGAAAUGAACACUAUUACCUGCAUAUUCCCUUGUGUCUGCACAGAAGGUGUCUGAAAAAACAGCGAGAGCAUCAGGACCUGCAAAAAGUGAACUGGAGUCCAGAGCUUCUGCCUUCCAGCCGGGGACAGCUCAUCCAAUAAGCAAGGCACACAUGUGCAUACCUUUCUUAUUGUAAGCCGAUGAAGACACCGAGCCUUAAGAGGUCAAAGAACUUGCCUGAAGCCACACUGAGACAGUGGUUAAGCAUGGAGACUCUGGGCUCUACCACCUCCCAACUGUGUGACCUCGAGCACGUCACUGAACCUCAUCUGUAAAACAGGAAGGGACCAAGGUCGUGGGAGGAUAGCAGAAAUUACACACAUUGAAUGCAUAAAACAGCGUCUGGCACCCAGUUAGCCCUCAAUGAAUGCUUGCUAUCAUUUAUUAUUUUUUACUUGACCACUCAGACACAUUAUAUUAUUUAUUUCCCCACCAUUUUCUGACCAGGGCGUCCCUUCUUACACUUCCACCCCUACAUCCUCUUUGCCCAUUCAAAUUCUACUCUCCUCUCUAAGCUCAACUGCUACUCCUCUAGAAGGACUCUUUCAGGAACCACCUUAACCCCAUGUGGAACUUCUUAAUUCUCUCUAAUGCCCCCAUACUGCCUUGUCUGUACCUCCUGGAACACUUAACUCAUGUCACCUGAUCUGCCAUUCAUGCUUUCAUGGGACAUAAUCCUUCGCUGGAGUUGUAAGAGUCUUCUUGUUCAUCUCUGAAUCUCUCAGUGGGUGACCGGCACCUUGCACAUUGGGGUGGACAACAUCUGAGAUGUAUGCCAAACAGGCAAGCCAACAUCCCAGUCUUUUCUUUGCGAAAUGCCCAUUGUCCCCAACAGUUAUUUUGUACAAUGUGACCCAUCCCUCCUACAGCCACUGUUGGUGUCUAUUGUUGUUGUGUGCUGUCAAGGUGAUUCCAAUCUACAGCAGCCCUAUAGGACAGAGUAGAACUGCCCCAUAGGGUUUCCUAGGCUGAAAUCUUUACAGGACCAGAUAGCCAAGUCUUUUCUCCCAUGGAGCCACUGGUGGGUUUGAACCUCCAACCUUUCAAUUAGCAGCCAAGUGCUUAACCAGUGCACCACCAGGACUUCUUGUUGGUGGGACUAGGGAUGAGCAACUGACCCAAGUUAGACGGAUCAGAAUAUUCAGGCCUGGGAAUUAGAAAUGAAGUGGAACACAGCACUGCCCAACCUCCUCCUUUUGGUGAAUGUCUCCUCCCCUCCCUAUCAAGAAUGUGGUUCAAGAAGGAAUUACUCCUCUCAUGAACUACAGACUUUCUAGAGUCAUAGAAACUGCCAGAACCCCUGAAACUAUUGCCCUGAGAUAAUCUUUAAAUCUUAAACCAAAAAUAU